CCUACGGGAGGCUGCAGUGGGGAAUAUUGGACAAUGGGGGGAACCCUGAUCCAGCCAUGCCGCGUGUGUGAAGAAGGCCCUCGGGUUGUAAAGCACUUUCAGUGAGGAAGAACGCCUGGUGGUUAAUACCCAUCAGGAAAGACAUCACUCACAGAAGAAGCACCGGCUAACUCCGUGCCAGCAGCCGCGGUAAUACGGAGGGUGCGAGCGUUAAUCGGAAUUACUGGGCGUAAAGCGCGCGUAGGUGGCUUGAUAAGCCGGUUGUGAAAGCCCCGGGCUCAACCUGGGACCGGCAUCCGGAACUGUCAAGCUAGAGUGCAGGAGAGGAAGGUAGAAUUCCCGGUGUAGCGGUGAAAUGCGUAGAGAUCGGGAGGAAUACCAGUGGCGAAGGCGGCCUUCUGGACUGACACUGACACUGAGGUGCGAAAGCGUGGGUAGCAAACAGGAUUAGAUACCCUGGUAGUC
rnacentral:rRNA from 1 species